AGAGUGAACGCUGGCGGUAGGCCUAACACAUGCAAGUCGAACGGCAGCACGGUAAGAGCUUGCUCUUAUGGGUGGCGAGUGGCGGACGGGUGAGGAAUACAUCGGAAUCUACCUUUUGGUGGGGGAUAACGUAGGGAAACUUACGCUAAUACCGCAUACGCCCUUCGGGGGAAAGCCGGGGACCAGCAAUGGCCUGGUGCUGAUAGAUGAGCCGAUGUCGGAUUAGCUAGUUGGUGAGGUAAUGGCUCACCGAAGGCGACGUAUCCGUAGCUGGUCUGAGAGGAUGAUC
rnacentral:rRNA from 1 species